GUACUUACCUACUUUAACGCUUUUUACCAAGGAUCCAUGCCCAUUGUGUGAUGAAGCAAAAGAAGUCCUUGAACCAUAUAAACACAGGGUAGAUAUCACACUGCCGGAGAACCAAAUUUGGUGGGACAGAUACAAAUACGACAUCCCAGUCUUCCAUCUGAAUGGACAGUUUCUAA